UACGUAGGAGGCGAGCGUUGUCCGGAGUUACUGGGCGUAAAGGGUGCGCAGGCGGCGGUUCGCGUGGCGAGAGGAAAUCUCCUGGCUUACCUGGGAGGAUGGUCGCCAGACGGGAUCGCUUGAGGGUCGGAGAGGGGCGUGGAAUUCCGGGUGGAGCGGUGAAAUGCGUAGAGAUCCGGAGGAACACCGACGGCGUAGGCAGCGCCCUGGACGACACCUGACGCUGAGGCACGAAAGCUGGGGGAGCGAACAGG
rnacentral:rRNA from 1 species